rnacentral:rRNA from 1 species
GUGUCAGCAGCCGCGGUAAUACAGAGGUCCCGAGCGUUGUUCGGAUUCACUGGGCGUAAAGGGUGCGUAGGUGGUGAGGUAAGUCGGAUGUGAAAUCUCGGAGCUUAACUCCGAAACUGCAUUGGAAACUACCUUGCUUGAGGAUUGGAGGGGGGACUGGAAUUCUCGGUGUAGCAGUGAAAUGCGUAGAUAUCGAGAGGAACACCAGUGGCGAAGGCGAGUCCCUGGACAACUCCUGACACUGAGGCACGAAAGCUAGGGGAGCAAACAGGAUUAGAUACCCCUGUAGUCC